GAUGAACGCUGGCGGCGUGCCUAAUACAUGCAAGUCGAGCGAACGGACGAGAAGCUUGCUUCUCUGAUGUUAGCGGCGGACGGGUGAGUAACACGUGGAUAACCUACCUAUAAGACUGGGAUAACUUCGGGAAACCGGAGCUAAUACCGGGUAAUAUUUUGAACCGCAUGGUUCAAAAGUGAAAGACGGUCUUGCUGUCACUUAUAGAUGGAUCCGCGCUGCAUUAGCUAGUUGGUAAGGUAACGGCUUACCAAGGCGACGAUGCAUAGCCGACCUGAGAGGGUGAUCGGCCACACUGGAACUGAGACACGGCCCAGACUCCUACGGGAGGCAGCAGUAGGGAAUCGUCCGCAAUGGGCGAAAGCCUGACGGAGCAACGCCGCGUGAGUGAUGAAGGUCUUCGGAUCGUAAAACGCUGUUAUUAGGGAAGAACAUAUGUGUAAGUAACUGUGCACAUCUUGACGGUACCUAAUCAGAAAGCCACGGCUAACUACGUG
rnacentral:rRNA from 1 species